CUCUCGGCAACGGAUAUCUCGGCUCUCGCAUCGAUGAAGAACGUAGCGAAAUGCGAUACCUGGUGUGAAUUGCAGAAUCCCGCGAACCAUCGAGUCUUUGAACGCAAGUUGCGCCCGAGGCCACUUGGCYGAGGGCACGCCUGCCUGGGCGUCACGCCAAACA
rnacentral:rRNA from 1 species